UCAAGUAAUUAAGUGCAUGUGGUGGAUGCCUUGGCAGUCAGAGGCGAUGAAAGACGUGAUAGCCUGCGAAAAGCUCCGGGGAGGCGGCAAAUAUCCUUUGAUCCGGAGAUGUCUGAAUGGGGGAACCCACCUACUUUAAGGUAGGUAUUGCAACAUGAAUACAUAGUGUUGCAAGGCGAACGAGGGGAAGUGAAACAUCUCAGUACCCUUAGGAAAAGAAAUCAAUUGAGAUUCCCUCAGUAGCGGCGAGCGAACGGGGAUCAGCCCAUUAAGUUAUGUGUGUUUUAGUGGAACGCUCUGGGAAGUGCGAACGUAGAGGGUGAUAUUCCCGUACACGAAAGGGCACACAUAAUGAUGACGAGUAGGGCGAGGCACGUGAAACCUUGUCUGAAUAUGGGGGGACCAUCCUCCAAGGCUAAAUACUCCUGACUGACCGAUAGUGAACCAGUACCGUGAGGGAAAGGCGAAAAGAACCCCUGUGAGGGGAGUGAAAUAGAUCCUGAAACCGCAUGCAUACAAGCAGUGGGAGCACCUUCGUGGUGUGACUGCGUACCUUUUGUAUAAUGGGUCAGCGACUUAUAUUCAGUAGCGAGGUUAACCGUAUAGGGGAGCCGUAGAGAAAUCGAGUCUUAAUAGGGCGUUUAGUUGCUGGGUAUAGACCCGAAACCAGGCGAUCUAUCCAUGAGCAGGUUGAAGGUUGGGUAACACUAACUGGAGGACCGAACCCACUGUCGUUGAAAAGCCAGGGGAUGACUUGUGGAUAGGGGUGAAAGGCUAAUCAAGCCUGGUGAUAGCUGGUUCUCCCCGAAAGCUAUUUAGGUAGCGCCUCGGACGAAUACCAUAGGGGGUAGAGCACUGUUUCGGCUAGGGGGUCAUCCCGACUUACCAAACCGAUGCAAACUCCGAAUACCUAUGAGUACUAUCCGGGAGACAGACUGCGGGUGCUAACGUCCGUAGUCAAGAGGAAAACAAUCCAGACCGCCAGCUAAGGCCCCAAAAUCAUAGUUAAGUGGGAAACGAUGUGGGAAGGCAUAGACAGCUAGGAGGUUGGCUUAGAAGCAGCCACCCUUUAAAGAAAGCGUAAUAGCUCACUAGUCGAGUCGGCCUGCGCGGAAGAUGUAACGGGGCUAAAACUAUGUGCCGAAGCUGCGGAUGUAUACUUUGUAUACGUGGUAGGGGAGCGUUCUGUAAGCCGAUGAAGGUGUGUUGAGAAGCAUGCUGGAGGUAUCAGAAGUGCGAAUGCUGACGUGAGUAACGACAAAACGGGUGAAAAACCCGUUCGCCGAAAGACCAAGGGUUCCAGUCCAACGUUAAUCGGGGCUGGGUGAGUCGACCCCUAAGGCGAGGCCGAAAGGCGUAGUCGAUGGGAAAAUGGUUAAUAUUCCAUUACUUCUGUGUAAUGCGAUGAGAGGACGGAGAAGGCUAAAUCAGCCUGGCGUUGGUUGUCCAGGUGAAAGGAUGUAGGCAUGUAUCUUAGGCAAAUCCGGGGUACUCUAUGCUGAGAUCUGAUAGCAAGCUGUACUUGUACAGCGAAGUGGUUGAUGCCAUGCUUCCAGGAAAAGUCUCUAAGCUUCAGUUACACAGGAAUCGUACCCGAAACCGACACAGGUGGUCAGGUCGAGUAGACCAAGGCGCUUGAGAGAACUCUGCUGAAGGAACUAGGCAAAAUGGUACCGUAACUUCGGGAGAAGGUACGCUGUUGUUGGUGAUGGAACUCGCUUCCUGAGCUGACGACAGCCGCAGAAACCAGGCGGCUGCAACUGUUUAUUAAAAACAUAGCACUCUGCAAACACGAAAGUGGACGUAUAGGGUGUGAUGCCUGCCCGGUGCUGGAAGGUUAAUUGAUGGGGUUAGCGUAAGCGAAGCUCUUGAUCGAAGCCCCAGUAAACGGCGGCCGUAACUAUAACGGUCCUAAGGUAGCGAAAUUCCUUGUCGGGUAAGUUCCGACCUGCACGAAUGGCAUAAUGAUGGCGGCGCUGUCUCCAGCAGAGGCUCAGUGAAAUCGAAAUCGCUGUGAAGAUGCAGUGUACCCGCGGCUAGACGGAAAGACCCCGUGAACCUUUACUGCAGCUUGACACUGAACUUUGACCUUACUUGUGUAGGAUAGGUGGGAGGCUUUGAAGCUGGAACGCUAGUUCCAGUGGAGCCGUCCUUGAAAUACCACCCUGGUAAUGUUGAGGUUCUAACUCUGUCCCGUGAUCCGGGACGAGGACCGUGUCUGGUGGGUAGUUUGACUGGGGCGGUCUCCUCCUAAAGAGUAACGGAGGAGUACGAAGGUGCGCUCAGCGUGGUCGGAAAUCACGCGUAGAGUAUAAAGGCAAAAGCGCGCUUAACUGCGAGACCCACAAGUCGAGCAGGUACGAAAGUAGGUCUUAGUGAUCCGGUGGUUCUGUAUGGAAGGGCCAUCGCUCAACGGAUAAAAGGUACUCUGGGGAUAACAGGCUGAUACCGCCCAAGAGUUCAUAUCGACGGCGGUGUUUGGCACCUCGAUGUCGGCUCAUCUCAUCCUGGGGCUGAAGCAGGUCCCAAGGGUAUGGCUGUUCGCCAUUUAAAGAGGUACGCGAGCUGGGUUUAGAACGUCGUGAGACAGUUCGGUCCCUAUCUACCGUGGGCGCUGGAAAUUUGAGAGGAUCUGCUCCUAGUACGAGAGGACCAGAGUGGACGAACCUCUGGUGUACCGGUUGUGACGCCAGUCGCAUCGCCGGGUAGCUAUGUUCGGAAGGGAUAACCGCUGAAAGCAUCUAAGCGGGAAGCCUACCUCAAGAUAAGAUUUCCCUAGGACUUUAUGUCCUCUAAAGAGCCGUUCGAGACUAGGACGUUGAUAGGUUGGAUGUGGAAGCAUAGUGAUAUGUGAAGCUGACCAAUACUAAUUGCUCGUGAGGCUUGACUAU
rnacentral:rRNA from 1 species